rnacentral:lncRNA from 1 species
CUUAUUGAUUUUCUUUGCUACCACCCUCCAUACUCUCAGGAAACUGCAUUCUGAUUCUUAACAUUAUAAAUUGUUUUAGUCUGCUGUUGGAUAAACAGAAUCAUAAGUGAAUUUCUGCCUCUUGUUUAACAAUGUUUUUCAAAGUGAUCUUUGGUAUCUAUACACUUUUUUUAAGUUCAUGCUUUUAUUUUUGAAUUUUUCUUUGGAUUCUAACAUUUGUUCUUCUCACUCAUCAUCACAUCUCAGUGCUGGCCCUGUGCUAUGAGUGACAUGCCAGUGGGGAGUGUGACUGCCAUGAUUAAUAUGCUUAACCCUGAAGAGCUGCACCUGUAGUUGAUAUGAGUGAAUCUUUAUUGAAAUAUAAUUUUUCUACAAUAAAAUUGUCUAACUUUAAUCAUACAGAAGCCCAGAGCUAUCAGUUUUUCCUGAUUCAAGUAAACAGAUGCUCUUCAACAAGCCACCCUCAGUUAUACGCACCCUGA